GAGACUCUGUGCGCGUGCAUAUCAAUAAGCGGAGGAAAAGAAACUAACAAGGAUUCCCUUAGUAACGGCGAGUGAAACGGGAAGAGCUCAAAUUUGAAAUCUUCAAGGUUCUACCUUGACGAAUUGUAGUUUAUAGAAGUGUUUUCUGUUAGUAGAGUGGCAAAAGUUCUUUGGAAUAGGACAUCAUAGAGGGUGAGAAUCCCGUAUUUGACCGUUACUUUCCAGCUUUGUGAUACACUUUCAAAGAGUCGGAUUGUUUGGGAAUGCAGUCCAAAAUGGGUGGUAAAUUUCAUCUAAAGCUAAAUAUUGGCGAGAGACCGAUCGCGAACAAGUACCGUGAGGGAAAGAUGAAAAGAACUUUGAAAAGAGAGUUAAACAGUACGUGAAAUUGUCAAAAGGGAAGCGUUUGACACCAGUGUUGUUUUUCCGAAAAUCAAUUACGAAUGUUUUGUUUUUGAGGAGUUAUGACUUCAUCGGCUUGCUCCUUUCUUUACGAAACUUUCUUAAUGCACUUUUCGGUUAACAAGUCAACAUCAAUUUCUUUUGUUGUAAAAGGGUAUGAGGAAGGUGGCUUUCUUUUCGGAGAAAGUGUUUAUAGCCUUGUGCCUCUACAAUCGGAGAGAUUGAGGUCUGCAGCGUAGAUCCUUCGGGGUUAGAUACGUUUGUGCUAAGUUAUAGCUUUUCAUAGACAACUUGUUGACUAUGUUUAGUCUUGUAGCUUACUCGCUGACGCUAUUUUACCUACGCUUAGGAUGUUGAACUCUAUCACACACAG
rnacentral:rRNA from 1 species